AAUGGGCGAGAGCCUGAACCAGCCAUGCCGCGUGCAGGAAGACGGCCCUAUGGGUUGUAAACUGCUUUUGUUUGGGAAGAAAAGGCGAUACGUGUAUUGCACUGACGGUACCAGAUGAAUAAGCAUCGGCUAACUCCGUGCCAGCAGCCGCGGUAAUACGGAGGAUGCGAGCGUUAUCCGGAUUUAUUAGGUUUAAAGGGUGUGUAGGCGGAAGAUUAAGUCAGUGGUGAAAUCUCACAGCUCAACUGUGAAACUGCCAUAGAUACUGGUUUUCUUGAGUACAGUUGAAGUAGGCGGAAUGUGUAAUGUAGCGGUGAAAUGCUUAGAUAUUACACAGAACACCGAUUGCGAAGGCAGCUUGCUAAGCUGUUACUGACGCUGAUGCACGAAAGCGUGGGGAGCGAA
rnacentral:rRNA from 1 species